UACGGGGGGGGUAAGCGUUGUUCGGAAUUACUGGGCGUAAAGGGCGCGUAGGCGGCCUGCUAAGUCGAACGUGAAAUCCCCGGGCUCAACCCGGGAACUGCGUCCGAGACUGGCAGGCUCGAAUCCGGGAGAGGGAUGUGGAAUUCCCAGUGUAGCGGUGAAAUGCGUAGAUAUUGGGAGGAACAUCGGUGGCGAAGGCGGCUACCUGGACGGGUACUGACGCUGAUGCGCGAAAGCUAGGGGAGCAAACAGG
rnacentral:rRNA from 1 species